ACAGAUAGAUAGGCUACACGAUCCGGCAAUCGUGAGUGAUGAUGAGAGAUUUUGUUUGAAUGGAUUUCUCGCAGCCAAUGAGAUGAAGAGGUAAUAUAAAGGACUUACUCGUGAAGGGGAGUGACGAGACGCCUUGUUGGAUGGAUGAUGUAAUCGAUCGACGGAAAGAAUAAUUGAGUGAAACGAAACAAAAAGAUGAUCGAGAGACUUGCGACACGCUGACUCGAUGCACGCUCCCGCCUCGAAGACUUGGCCACUGAAUAAUAUCGACGCCGCAAUAACUAAAACUGGCGUUCCUGCUGCUCUGCGAGCUGAUUUCCAAGCCGGCUUAUGCUGUUGCUGGCGACCGCUCCUCCCAUCCCUUCAACUCGUCCAAACAUAGGCUUCCGCUUCUCUCUCUCUCUCUCUCUCUGUUUCACGCAGACUUGGGUCUUGGCUUAUCCCGAUUGCUUGUAUUACGGGUCCUGUUUUACUUUUGGAUUUUUUUUUUUUUUUAUCUUAUUCUUUUUUGUAUUUUUGAAGGGUAUCGUGUCUUAUAUACGGCACCUUACUUAUAUAUAUAUAUACUGCAGUCACUUUCACGGCGAGCCCACGCUUAUUUUUAAACUCAUCCCGUGCGCCCACUCUCUUCUGGCGCCUAGUAGCAGCAGCAACAACAUCUUCUCCUGUCGAGUCUGAGAGUCUCAUCAGAAUCACAACAGGACAGCCACACAUGCCCCGCGGUGUCAUUUUGUACACAACAUAGUUCAUAUAGGCGUUUUUUUUUUUUUUUUUUUUUUAAGGGCGGGUCUGUAUGAUAAUAAUGUCUUGUCUAGUUUACAUUGAAUACAUCUUCGGCGUGUAUUUAUAUUAGCUUGAAGAUUUUGUCUCCGGUAUCCCAACAAUCGAUGACAUACCAGCCCACACAUGAAUCGUCAUAAUUGUAGGACUACAUAGCCUAUAACGUUGUUUAAUUAUGUACAAUAUAUUGUAUCAAAAGUAGUUUUUUUUAAGCCACGUAAUAUGACGCAUUUUUUGUAGACACUAUAAUGUGAAUGAUUAAAUUGCUUGAUCAGUAAAUAA